rnacentral:tRNA from 1 species
GCAGAUAUGGCCAAGUGGUUAAGGCGACUGACUCGAAAUCAGUUUCCAUCUUGGAGCGUAGGUUCGAAUCCUACUAUCUGCG